ensembl:lncRNA
GGAACAUGUAAUGUCAGAGUGUUUGCACUGACACCUCUGUAUAUCUAGCUCCAAGUCAGUUACAUAGAUCAUUGCUAUUUCAGGAUUUUCUCCAGUAAAGGUUCGAAAUGUUUGGAAUUCUGGUUUUGUCUUUGCUCACAGACUGUGCGCUGUCAUCACCUGUGAUUCAGCAAACACCUUUAAAUCUUCUGAUAAAACCAGAACAACGACAAGCCCAGAUCGAAUGCUACCAUGGAGCGAGUGACUAUCAAUACAUGUACUGGUACCAGCACAGGUCAGCAGCAGGAGGCCAGCGGACAAUGGAGCUGAUUGGACGGCUUCAAUAUGGAAACCCAACUCUUGAAAAGACCUUUGAGAGCAAAUUUAACAUAACAGGCCAUUCAACGGCCAAAGCUCAGCUUGUAAUCUCCAAUGUUAAUCCGGCAGACACAGCACAAUACUUCUGUGCUGCGAGUCGGCACAGU